rnacentral:lncRNA from 1 species
CAAACACCAGUAAACCUUAAAGAAGGAACUAAAAUUAAACCAUGGCGAAGGUCCUCAUCGAUAUGAUAAAUUAAAGUAUGAAUGUCAUAAGACAAAAGCAUCACGUGAAUUCGAAAGAACAACGUCUCCUAAGUAUUGUUGAUGACUCUUUUUUUACAUUUUUACUCAGAGUUAGAAAACUUGAACAGAAUAAGAAGUCAUGGAAUAAAGACGUCAAUGAUUUCAAUACAAUCAACAGAUGAUUGAAAUCAAACCAAAAAAAAGAAAACAGAACAAUGCAACGAACAUUCGUUAUAUCAAAUUGAUAUCACGUACUAAGAACAAAAAUUCAGUCAAACUGAAAUCGUUAGCAUCAAUUUAUAUUGACAGAAUAAAAAAAGAUAUAGGUUACUAGUUCCGAAGUGAUAAUCUAGAAAUUAUUGAAUUAUUGAAUAAAUAAUCCAUAAUUGUCGGAAACAAAAUUGGUUAAAUAUUUUAAAAGAAGGGAACUUCAAUAACCCAACAACACACCGACACAAAAAACCAAAAGUCAUCUAUAAUAAAAACAAUCUUUGACUAAUUGGGUACGUUUGGGUACGUUUUUAGAGCUUUCCUGAUGUAUCUUCACCAGGUGCGAUCAACUAAAAUAAGUGAAAGUCAGGAAUGAAUAACUACAAGCCAGGGAUGGGAUAUUAUCAAAAGGGACUUUUAAAGAAUAUACAAAAAGCUUUUCAGAACAUAUACAAUCUUUCAUAAAGUAGUUAAAAUAAAAAUUUGCAAUUGAACACACAUAUCAUACCCAAACGAAGUCUUAAAACUUAAUUUUGAUUCUGCAUCACUUUGGAAUGUCUUAACUUACAUCCAUCGACAAAAUCCAAUUUAACAGAUUGAAAGGAUAUUCUACACACCUAGGAAAAGCAACGAGUAUUCUCUUGUCGUAGGAUUUUAUAAUUAAAUUUCGAAAACGCCAAAAAAAGAAAAGCUUUGUAUAAGAAUUUCAUGUCUCGUUUGCUUAGAUAUAGACCCUUCAAUUUAAAAAAAAAAUGUACAAGAUUUGGUAACCUUAUUCCCGAG